rnacentral:lncRNA from 1 species
UGGCUGUUCUGUUCCAUGUGGUAUAACUGAUAGCACUCAGGUGGCUUCAUUCAAGUGGGAGCUGAGCUGGGGCUAAAACAACUACGUGAUCUCAUCCUCCAAAUUAGUUUAGUCUUGACUUCUUAACAGUUUGAAGUCAGGCUCCAAGAAGUGCUCUGAGAGAACAAGCUCCACUGUGAACAAGCUUAUGAAGGCUCUUCGUUAGGGUCAAGGCUGAAGAGACCACUCAAGAGGCCGUGUGGGAGGGAACUGAAGCCCCCUGACAACAGCCAUUUGAGUGAACCUGUAAGCGGACCCUUCAGCUCUAAAUGAUGCAGCCCUGGCCAACACCUUGACCACAGCCUGUAAGAGACCUGAGAUAGAACUAUCCAGAUGUCUUCUUUCAGGAAGUCCUUCUGGACCUACACUCUCCAUCCUGAGCAGGUUUACAUACUCCUACUCUGUGCUUCAUAAAAUCCUGAGAAUUAGCUUCAUCACUGGACUACAGGAUAGAUCUAGAAUAAUAUGUUUUUUAUGUGAGCUUGUGAAGUGACUGCUACUGAGUUUGGAAUGUUACUGUUUCAUCCUGAAAGACAGUGUUCUCUCCUGAGGUCUGGAGAUUGACAUUUCUGUGGACUUAAUCUAUAUGUCCAAGGACACUUCAAAGAAAGAUAUCACAAGUUUAAACACAGAGGAAAAUGGUUCAUAAAUCCAAUAAAAUUUGGAAUGCACAACUACCAGCAAUUUCAGGGGAUUUUCACCCAAUAUAUUUGCCAACAAAUCAAUAACACGAGUAAAUCCUUCUGCAUUGUGGACAAUCAAAUGCUCACUAACAGGUACUACUAACUAAAUUAAUAUAAUCCCAGAAGCGCUCUGUCUGUGUCAAACCUAAUGCCACUGAGGCUUAAAAUUCACAUGUGAUAAGCUGGAGGAUAUUUCUUAAUAAUGGUUUAAAGAAAGGGAAAUUAUGUGAAGAUUCUGAAUUAAAUGCUCCCAUACGAAGUGGGCUCAGUUUAAAUUGCUCUUGUCUCUAGAUGACCUGUUUCCUGCUGUCCCUAUUGUUUUAC